GUCAGAAUCAGCUUUCGUUUCACCCUCAGUCGAACUUGGACAGGAAUUAAUUUUGUGAUCAAAAUGACAGCUGAGGUUAAUACACAUCGGACGUACCUAUACGUUCCCAGGGUGUCAGUUCACCCUGCUGAUGAUGAGGUUGAAAAGAUGGAGAAUGGACAAAACAGGAACCAAGCCAUUGCUUCUGAUUUGGAGAUGUCCAACAUAAACAAC